GCUCAAGAAACUUAAAGGAAUUGACGGGGCCCGCACAAGCGGAGGAGCAUGUGGUUUAAUUCGAUGAUACGCGAGGAACCUUACCUGGGCUCGAACGUAAGAUGACUGUAGGUGAAAGCUUACAUCUCUUCGGAGCAUUUUACGAGGUGCUGCAUGGUUGUCGUCAGCUCGUGCCGUGAGGUGUCGGGUUAAGUCCCAUAACGAGCGCAACCCUACCUUUAGUUGCCAUCAGGUAAUGCUGGGGACUCUAAAGGAACUGCCUACGCAAGUAGUGAGGAAGCGGGGAUGACGUCAAAUCAGCACGGCCCUUACGUCCAGGGCUACACACGUGCUACAAUGGCCGAUACAGAGGGCAGCUACCUGGUGACAGGAUGCAAAUCUCCAAAGUCGGUCUCAGUUCGGAUCGGAGUCUGCAACCCGACUCCGUGAAGUUGGAUUCGCUAGUAAUCGCGCAUCAGCCAUGGCGCGGUGAAUACGUUCCCGGGCCUU
rnacentral:rRNA from 1 species